GGAGGCUAAAAAUAAACAUUGGUAGUGUUAGAAGUUUUCCUAUAAGGCCAGGUAUUUGUCUUUUCAUAUGCUCAAAGGACCAAAAAAGAGCAUUCUGUAGCUGGGCCCUUCGUUAGGCUUAGUCAUCUUAGUAGUUAUUCUUAGCUCACAGAUGAUAGUCUGGCCCUUUAACUAAAAGUGUAAACAUAUGUCAAAUUUAGGACUUUAAACCGUCUUGGAACAUUAUUUUAUAGUCAUUGCCAAGUAUUUGCCACAACUAGAAGUGAGGACUGCAGAGGAUGAUGGUAAUGCAGUACGUCAUAACCCAGUUAGGACAAGCAUGGCAACUCUAUAAACUGGAAUCACACAGUUGAAGAUUUCAACAUUCUACAAGAAGGAUGCACUGAAUUUGGCAUACUAAGUCACAGCAAGGACAAUGCCUGUUAAAUGCCUGUUGCAGUUCAUUAAGAAAACUGCUAGUUAGGCUUUAAUUGAUUUUCUGAAUUCCUAAACAGCAUAGAAGUAAUCUGUCUCAUCAGAUGACAAACUGUAUUGAGUACAAAAACCCUUGAAGUCCAUUU